AUGCCCAGCUUGCUGGGCGGAUUAGUGGCGAACGGGUGAGUAAUACGUGAGUAACCUGCCCUUGACUCUGGGAUAAGCCUGGGAAACUGGGUCUAAUACUGGAUACUACCGUCCACCGCAUGGUGGGUGGUGGAAAGGGUUUUACUGGUUUUGGAUGGGCUCACGGCCUAUCAGCUUGUUGGUGGGGUAAUGGCUCACCAAGGCGACGACGGGUAGCCGGCCUGAGAGGGUGACCGGCCACACUGGGACUGAGACACGGCCCAGACUCCUACGGGAGGCAGCAGUGGGGAAUAUUGCACAAUGGGCGGAAGCCUGAUGCAGCGACGCCGCGUGAGGGAUGACGGCCUUCGGGUUGUAAACCUCUUUCAGUAGGGAAGAAGCGAGAGUGACGGUACCUGCAGAAGAAGCGCCGGCUAACUACGUGCCAGCAGCCGCGGUAAUACGUAGGGCGCAAGCGUUGUCCGGAAUUAUUGGGCGUAAAGAGCUCGUAGGCGGUUUGUCGCGUCUGCUGUGAAAGCCCGGGGCUCAACCCCGGGUCUGCAGUGGGUACGGGCAGACUAGAGUGCAGUAGGGGAGACUGGAAUUCCUGGUGUAGCGGUGAAAUGCGCAGAUAUCAGGAGGAACACCGAUGGCGAAGGCAGGUCUCUGGGCUGUUACUGACGCUGAGGAGCGAAAGCAUGGGGAGCGAACAGGAUUAGAUACCCUGGUAGUCCAUGCCGUAAACGUUGGGCACUAGGUGUGGGGGACAUUCCACGUUUUCCGCGCCGUAGCUAACGCAUUAAGUGCCCCGCCUGGGGAGUACGGCCGCAAGGCUAAAACUCAAAGGAAUUG
rnacentral:rRNA from 1 species